rnacentral:rRNA from 1 species
GUGCCAGCAGCCGCGGUAAGACAGAGGGGGCAAGCGUUGUCCGGAAUUACUGGGCGUACAGCGCACGCAGGUGGCCUGGCAAGUGUGGUGUGAAAGCCCCGCGCUCAACGCGGGGAGGCCAGCACAGACUGCCGGGCUCGAGGGCUGCAGAGGGUGGUGGAAUUGCCGGUGUAGUGGUGAAAUGCGUAGAGAUCGGCAGGAACACCAAGGCCGAAGGGAGCCACCUGGGCAGCAACUGACACUCAUGUGCGACAGCGUGGGGAGCGAACCGGAUUAGAAACCCGUGUAGUCC